GACGAACGCUGGCGGCGUGCUUAACACAUGCAAGUCGAACGAAGUGGCGCACGGGUGAGUAACGCGUAAUCAAACCGCCCUUCAGAGGGGGACAACAGUUGGCAACGACUGCUAAUACCGCAUACGGAAGGAGGGGAUUGCGUCUGAUUAGCAAGUUGGCGGGGUAACGGCCCACCAAGGCGAUGAUCAGUAGCCGGUCUGAGAGGAUGAACGGCCACAUUGGGACUGAGACACGGCCCAGACUCCUACGGGAGGCAGCAGUGGGGAAUCUUCCGCAAUGGACGAAAGUCUGACGGAGCAACGCCGCGUGAGUGAUGACGGCCUUCGGGUUGUAAAGCUCUGUUAAUCGGGACGCGGUACCGGAAUAGAAGGCCACGGCUAACUACGGGCCAGCAGCCGCGGUAAUU
rnacentral:rRNA from 1 species